CAGAAAAGUAAUAGAAACGCAGAUAAAAUGCUAACGCAGUCGUGUCACAGCUGCCUACCUUUACCAGGGGUGCGGCUGGAGGGUCCUGAAGAGCAACGGAUCUGGUUGCACAGACCACCCUUGUCUGGACGUUGGCUGUAAGGAACACAACACCUUCCACAAGCGUAUCAUGAUGCCCAUAGAUCAUUUGAACCUGGAGAGGGGGGAGUUUAAUGGAGUCGCUCUGAUGAAAGUGCACGCCUUUACUCUUGUGUAUGAAUCUCAUGGUUCAGUACAGUAGGUGAGGCAGACUUGAGAGAAUUUUAUUAAUUUUUCCCGGAGCUGAUCUAAUAUCUUCCUGAUUGGUUGCUUCCUCCUGCUGGAUCAGGUCACUGCCAGGGGACAAAGCGUACAGGAUGUGUGCUUAACAGGAGGAGAUCUCGGCCUAGCGCCACAAAGCUCCCACCACCACUUAAACACGGGAACUGCGGAACUGUCACGCCAAAAAUGUCAGACGCUUUUUAUUCUCAGCACCUCUAUAAUUUGUGAUUUAUGCCAUACAGUAAAAUAUAACAAUGCACCAAUG